rnacentral:rRNA from 1 species
UACGUAGGGUGCGAGCGUUGCCCGGAUUUAUUGGGCGUAAAGGGCGCGUAGGCGGCCACGCACGUCCGUUGUGAAAUCGCCCGGCUCAACUGGGCGGGGUCAGCGGAUACGGUGUGGCUCGAGCAAGCUAGGGGGCAAUGGAAUUCCCGGUGUAGUGGUGGAAUGCGUAGAUAUCGGGAGGAACACCAGUGGCGAAGGCGGUUGCCUGGAGCUUUGCUGACGCUGAGGCGCGAAAGCGUGGGGGGCGAUCCGG